rnacentral:lncRNA from 1 species
UUUUCUUUUUUUGCCCUCAAUCUGUAUAUUCGUUUAUACUGCUAGGAGAUGGUAACAGCAUGCAAAGAGAGCAUCCAGGCGCUCGCCCCCUCGUCAGCCGUUCGUCCAGGAACUCAUCCCCGUCGCCUGGCCGCGCCCCUCCUCGCGCCCAGCCUUGUCGUCGCCGCACCCUGGCCCUCCUCCUCGCGCCCAGUUGCUCCUCUCCCAGGUACUCCUCGCAUCGCCCAGAGCAAGGAAAAGCAACACCUGGCAAGCAAUUCAGCAACACACAUCAGCAAAACAGGAGAAGCGACACAUCAGCAAGAUACAAGAUCAAAAUCAAUUCCACUACAGUUGAGUACAAGAUCCAGGUGCUUGACAGUAGAGUACAAGAUCAAGAAGAGUAGCUUCAAGAGCAGCAACAGAUCACAGUAGUAGAAUUUUCAGCAUAUGAACAACAGCAAUAAUUUCUCAUCAUAGCACAACACCAGAUCAUCAGGAGAUCUUCAAAUUACUCCAGAUCAAGGAUCAGGUGUACUCCAGAUCAAGAUCAAGAGUACAGGAGUAGGACAACAAAAGAGAACUUCAAAUUACUCCACAUCAAGAGAUCAAGAACUCAGGAGUACGACAACAAAAGCAUUAAGAGUAUCAUUAACACAACAACUGAUCAAGAGGAGCAGUUGAUCAAGAGGACCAGCAGCUAAUCAAGAUGAGGAGCAGAACAUAACAACAACAGCAUUAGCAAGCAGUAUUAGCAGCACUAUCAGCAAUAGCAAAAAUACAACAACAACAGCAUUAUCAGCAGUAUGAAUACCAGGCAGCAUUAUCAGCAAGAGCAGCACCAGCACAACAACAGUAGCAAGUUGAGACUUGUAGUGCUAUGUUGAGACUUGUAGUGCUUUGAUGAGACUUGUAGUGCUAUCGUGAGACUUGUUUGUGGAAAUGCAUCCAUGGAGUCUUGUUUGUCGAAAUGGAUUAUAUUGUUUUUAAGUUGUUUGUGGAAAUGGAUUAUACUCCAUAUGUAUUGUAAGAAUGUAUGAAAUGGAUCAUAUUGUGUAGUUUGAAAUGGUGUACUCCAUAUGUGUUGCUUAAAAUGUGUGCUCCAUAUGUGCUAUUUGAAAUGGAGUGUGAAAGUUUCUGAAAUUUUAUGCAAGUUUCUGAAUUUUAUAAUUUUUGGAAGUUUCUAAAAUUUUGUGCAAGUUUCUGAAUUUUAUAAUUUUUGAGAGUUUCUAAAAUUUUAUGCGAGUUUUUGAAUUUUAAAUUUCCGAGAGUUUCUGAAUAAUUUAUGAAAGUUGUUUGUUUUGGAAUAUGCAAGUUGUGUUGUUCUUUGGAUAGUGUUUGGAGAGGUAAGGAAAGGAGAUGAGAGGAAAGGAAAGUUUGUUUUAGCUAUAGUACAGUAAAGGAGAGUUUGUUUGUCUACCCCAUGUUCCUACAAGUAUUCCAAGCAAAAUACUCCAAGCAAAUACUCUAAGGAACAAUAUUCCUAUCACAAGGAGUAACAAAAUACUCCAAGUACUAUGAUAGUCUUACAGCUAAGAGGCAGACACAGCAGCAUGCGAUCAGCACCCACAUGAUCAACAUCUUCAGGAGCUUCAACCACAUCAAGAAUCUUGACGACCCACAUGAUCAGGAGCCGCAUCUUCAGUAAAUCUGCAACAUUUAAACCUGCUGAAUGUUAGGAUGAUGCACCUGUUAACCCAACACAGAUUUCAGGUUCCAUCCGAAAUUAACAACAUCAAAGCAUUGCAACAAAGAUCACCAACAUUAUAAAUGCAUAAGAUCACUCCUAACAUUAACGUUAACAUUAACAAAAAUCACUCCUAAAGUUUCAGCUAAGCACAUCUACUACCAUUAGAUAUGCACUAAUUUUAUUUCUAGAAUGACACAUGGCCAAUGGGGAAAACACAUGCUAUUCACUUGGAGAAAAAACAGUGAAUGUACUCCUGCAGUCCUGAAUUUACUGUAAAUUUACUCAAUUUCUGAAUGUACAGUAAAUUUACCGCAUCACACUACUCUUACAAGGAGUACUUUCAGUAGAGCAUUUUGUUCUGCAACUUGUAAACUUGCUCGACUAUACUCCUAAAUGAAAUCCUACUUUGAGCAAACACUCUAACUACUCUUACGAGGAGUACUUUUAGUAGAGUACUGUACUUUCAGCCUUUUAGUAGACUACUCCUAAAAGAAAUCCUACUAUCAUUAAGCGUGCAAUGCAACUUUAUGUAUUGUGAUGAUCAUCACUUCUAAGUGAAUACUAAUUAUUACCCGCCAGAUCUAUUUCUUUGUUCCCUUUGCAUUUUCACUUUUCUUUAUACAAUGUCUGCUACCAGGUUAGUUAAAACGGAACCAUGUGGAGUGCAUGUACAGUAGUCUGCUCCUACUCAUAUUGUGACCCAGAUCUGAGUCACAAAUUGUACAACAUGGAGUACCAGAAGACUUACUCCUACUCUGAGUAGGAGAUGAUCUAGCAGCAUCAGAAGACAUAGCGGCACAAGCACAACCACUCUAGCAGUACAAGCAAAAGAGCAUGGAGUACAAGCAGCAACUGCAACUCACCAUCGUCGGG